GAUGAAGAACGUAGCGAAAUGCGAUAAGUAAUGUGAAUUGCAGAAUUCAGUGAAUCAUCGAACCUUUGAACGCACAUUGCGCCCGUCAGUAUUCUGGCGGGCAUGCCUGUUCGAGCGUCAUUACGCCCCUCAAGUCCCCUGUGGACUUGGUGUUGGGGAUCGGCGAGGCUGGUUUUCCAGCACAGCCGUCCCUUAAAUUAAUUGGCGGUCUCGCCGUGGCCCUCCUCUGCGCAGUAGUAAAACACUCGCAACAGGAGCCCGGCGCGGUCCACUGCCGUAAAACCCCCCAACUUUUUAUAGUUGACCUCGAAUCAGGUAGGACUACCCGCUGAACUUAAGCAUAUCAAUAAGCGGAGGA
rnacentral:misc_RNA from 1 species